rnacentral:rRNA from 2 species
UUUCUGUGUCGUAGCUAACGCAUUAAGCGCCCCGCCUGGGGAGUACGGCCGCAAGGCUAAAACUCAAAGGAAUUGACGGGGGCCCGCACAAGCGGCGGAGCAUGCGGAUUAAUUCGAUGCAACGCGAAGAACCUUACCAAGGCUUGACAUACACCGGAAACGGCCAGAGAUGGUUGCCCCCUUGUGGUCGGUGUACAGGUGGUGCAUGGUUGUCGUCAGCUCGUGUCGUGAGAUGUUGGGUUAAGUCCCGCAACGAGCGCAACCCUCGUUCUAUGUUGCCAGCGCGUUAUGGCGGGGACUCAUAGGAGACUGCCGGGGUCAACUCGGAGGAAGGUGGGGAUGACGUCAAAUCAUCAUGCCCCUUAUGUCUUGGGCUUCACGCAUGCUACAAUGGCCGGUACAAAGGGCUGCGAUACCGUAAGGUGGAGCGAAUCCCAAAAAGCCGGUCUCAGUUCGGAUUGAGGUCUGCAACUCGACCUCAUGAAGUCGGAGUCGCUAGUAAUCGCAGAUCAGCAACGCUGCGGUGAAUACGUUCCCGGGCCUUGUACACACCGCCCGUCAAGUCAUGAAA